AAAGGCUCGGGCUCCUCUUCCUGCUAGAGAUAAAGCCCCCUGACUGCCCUCAUGGCUUUCUACCAUUUCCACAAAGGUGUGGCUGCUUCGGACAACUGCAGUGCCUCCGUGCCAGUGAAAGCACAAGGUUUGUAAUAAAUUUUAACAAAUUUACUCCAUCCAG
rnacentral:lncRNA from 1 species